rnacentral:rRNA from 1 species
CGUGACGUAUUACUAUAAGAAUAAGGAUCCGGCUACACUCCAGUGCCAGCAGCCGGCGGUAAUACGGAAGGGUCCAAGCGGUUAUCCCGUGAUUUAUUGGGUUUAAAGGGUACGUAGGCGGAGCUUUAAGUCAGUAAGUGAAAAGCCCAUUGCUUAACAAUGGAACUGCUAUUGAUAUCUGGAGUUCUUGAAUUAUAGUUGAAGUAGGCGGAAUACGGACAUGUAGCGGGUGAAAUGCAUAGAUAUGCCGUUGGAACACCAAUCGCGAAGGGCAGCUUACUAAGCUAUAAUUGACGCUAAUGUACGAAAAGCGUGGGGAGCGAACAGGAUUAGAUACCCUGGUAGUCCACGCCGUAAACGAUGAUUACUCGGUGCUGGCGAUAUACAGUCAGUGCUAAGCGAAAGCGAUAAGUAAUCCACCUGGGGAGUACGAUCGCAAGGUUGAAACUCAAAGGAAUUGACGGGGGCCCGCACAAGCGGUGGAGCAUGUGGUUUAAUUCGAUGAUACGCGAGGAACCUUACCUGGGCUUAAAUGCAUAAUGACAGGCUGAGAAAUCAGUCCUUCUUCGGACAGAAUGCAAGGUGCUGCAUGGCUGUCGUCAGCUCGUGCUGUGAGGUGUCGGGUUAAGUCCCAUAACGAGCGCAACCCCUAUUACUAAUUGCCAGCACAUAAUGGUGGGGACUCUAGUAAAACUGCCCGUGCAAACGGUGAGGAAGGUGGGGACGACGUCAAGUCAUCACGGCCCUUACGUCCAGGGCUACACACGUGCUACAAUGGUAGAGACAGAGGGCAGCCACUUGGUGACAAGGAGCUAAUCCUAAAACUCUAUCUCAGUUCGGAUUGAAGUCUGCAACUCGACUUCUGAAGCUGGAAUCGCUAGUAAUCGGAUAUCAGCCACGAUCCGGUGAAUACGUUCCACGGGCCUUGUACACACCGCCCGUCAAGCCAUGGAAGCUGAGGGUGCCUGAAGUCGGUAACCGCAAGGAGCCGCCUAGGGUAAAAUCGGUAACUGGGGCUAAGUCGUAACAAGGUAGCCGU